CAGUAGCCACGGGAAGACAGAGGAUGCAAGCGUUAUCCGGAAUGAUUGGGCGUAAAGCGUCUGUAGGUGGCUUUUCAAGUCCGCUGUCAAAUCCCAGGGCUCAACCCUGGACAGGCGGUGGAAACUACCAAGCUGGAGUACGUUAGGGGCAGAGGGAAUUUCCGGUGGAACGGUGAAAUGCGUUGAGAUCGGAAAGAACACCAACGGCGAAAGCACUUUGCUGGGCCGACACUGACACUGAGAGACGAAAGCUAGGGGAGCAAAUGGGAUUAGAUACCCCAGUAGUCCCUGUCUCUUAUAA
rnacentral:rRNA from 1 species